UGGGGAAUAUUGGACAAUGGGGGCAACCCUGAUCCAGCCAUGCCGCGUGUGUGAAGAAGGCCUUUUGGUUGUAAAGCACUUUAAGCAGGGAGGAGAGGCUAAUGGUUAAUACCCAUUAGAUUGGACGUUACCUGCAGAAUAAGCACCGGCUAACUCUGUGCCAGCAGCCGCGGUAAUACAGAGGGUGCGAGCGUUAAUCGGAAUUACUGGGCGUAAAGCGAGUGUAGGUGGCUCAUUAAGUCACACGUGAAAUCCCCGGGCUUAACCUGGGAACUGCAUGUGAUACUGGUGGUGCUAGAAUAUGUGAGGGGGAAGUAGAAUUCCAGGUGUAGCGGUGAAAUGCGUAGAGAUCUGGAGGAAUACCGAUGGCGAAGGCAGCUUCCUGGCAUAAUAUUGACACUGAGAUUCGAAAGCGUGGGUAGCAAACAGGAUUAGAUACCCUGGUAGUCCACGCCGUAAACGAUGUCUACUAGCCGUUGGGGUCCUUGAGACUUUAGUGGCGCAGUUAACGCGAUAAGUAGACCGCCU
rnacentral:rRNA from 1 species